CUGCUGCUAUUGGGUAUAUUUUGGUUUAAAUAUGUAUAACGUUUAUGUUAAAUCUCUGUCCUUAUGGAUUAGGUUCUAGUCUGCUGUGCAGUAGCCAAAGGAGCCAUUUUACAGUAUUGGGACGAGGCCAGAAUCAGCAGCUCACACGUCAUCAUAGAGGAGGGGCUAUGUAAAUUUAGCAGAAUAACGUAUGGGGAUGCAGCCUGCUAUUUCCACUUGCCCAUCAAUACAAUCUAGGGGGGAAAUCGUCGAUUCAAAUUGCUAAUUUAAAAAAGAAAAAGGAUAUCAAAUUCUCUCGUCUCCAGGCAUUAGUCCAGAAUAUAUGGAACAUGGCAUCGAAAUGUCCUAAAUGCGACAAGACGGUUUAUUUUGCUGAGAAGGUGACAUCCCUGGGGAAAGACUGGCACAAGUUCUGUCUGAAAUGUGAGCGCUGCAACAAGACCCUGAACCCAGGGGGCCAUGCUGAACAUGAUGGAACACCCUACUGCCACAAGCCAUGCUAUGCUGCCCUCUUUGGACCAAAAGGUGUGAACAUAGGAGGUGCUGGCUCUUACGUCUAUGAGGCUCCCGUUAACGAUACCCCUGCCAGCGUUUCCACGGAAACAGGGGCCAAACUCGAGGAGAAGAAAGCUCACGCCAGAGGCCCAGUGAAGGCCGCAAGCUUCUCCACUUUUUCUGGAGAGCCCAGUAAAUGUCCAAGAUGCAGCAAGACAGUGUAUUUCGGUAAGCCUGUUAUGUUAAGUAAGCCUGUUAUGAAAAGAAGCCAACAAGUGAUCAGCAUAUGUGGGAACUCCUUCAAGACUGUUGGAAAAGCAUUCCUCAUGAAGCUGGUUGAGAGAAGGCCAAGAGUGAGCAACGCUGUCAUCAAGGCAAAGGGUGGUUACUUUGAAGAAUUUGUGUAUCUGUAUGUAUCAUGUAUCUGUGUAUGCAUCUGUGUAUCAUAUAUCUGUGUAUGUAUAUGUGUAUGUAUAUGUGUAUGUGAGUGUGUGUCUACAAUGCACAUGGUGGCUGGCAACUGUACUAGAGGAAUGUUGUUUCCAUGGUGAUAUGCCUGAUAUUGUGUGUGCGUGCGCUUCCGUGUGUGCUUGUGUGUGCAGCUGAGAAGGUAACGUCCCUGGGGAAGGACUGGCAUCGACCCUGUCUGCGCUGUGAGAGAUGCUGCAAGACCCUGGCCCCUGGAAGCCACGCAGAGCAUGAUGGGCAGCCCUACUGCCACAAACCGUGUUAUGCCACCCUGUUUGGGCCCAAAGGUGUGAACACUGGAGGUGUUGGGAGCUACAUCUACGAUGAACCCAGCACUGAGGCAGAGGCAGAGACUGAGGCCCAGCCUUGAGUCUACCCUUAUCCCCCACCACCUCCUCCUCCAGCCAGACCUCUUCAGCAUUGGCUCUCUCACCUCAUGCCUUGUUACUAUCCCCAUUCUUAGAUAGGCUGAGUAUAUCUGUAUUUCCAACCUGUCCCUACACUUUCUACUCUGCUUCUCCAUUAGGUUAUUCAGCAUGUACAGAAAGCAAGUGUCAAAUAGUACAUGUUGUAGGCUUAACUCACAAGAAUGGAUAUUUAGAAUGUUCAGUUGUGUUUCUAGAUUAUUUAUACCUCUACUUUUUGUAUUGCAAUGAAUCUUUUUUUGGCGAACAUCUCCCCUGUGAAAUGUACAGUAGGUUCAUCGAUGUCCCCUUCCUCGUUGUUCAUGUCUCUCCAAGAUGCCAAAUCAGCAGAAGUGUGUGUAAGCUGUACAGUACAAUGUGUAUUAAAUGAAAGCCACCCUAUGGUUUGACUCUACACAGUACAGCACAGACCUAGUGAGGGAAAGAUGAGGGGGUGGUAGGCCUGCUUUUAUUAAUUCCCUGAAAAUAAUGUCAUUUAUCUGUGCACCUACAAAUACAUGGCAUACACAACUGGCAUGAUGAUUUCCAAGCUUUCUGCUAUAGGCCUAUUCAGUAUGUUCUUGCCAAGUUCACCCUGCGUCUAGGAGAACGGGGUGAUAGUGUAGAAACAGAAUAGAUAGAGCAUCCUAGGAAUGUGCAUUAUUGUUAGCCUAUUGCUGUUGGUUGUGCAUCAAAGGUGUGUUACUUAAGAAAGUGGGUCAUCAGAUAUUUUCUACAAUAAAGUUGUAAGAACAUGAAAAGUU